UCGGCCGCCCGCCUGACGUCCUGCCAGCGGCCGCACCCCCUGCCUGCCGGCAGCGCGCACUGCCGGCUGGCCACGCCACCUUGCCGGCCGAGCCCCCCGCGAGGACCCCGCGCCGCCGGGCUGCCUGGAGCACGCGCCCGCCGCUACUCGGCCUGGAGGCCGCGCUGGCCGGCGAUGCUCGCAGACGCGCGGGCACCACGUCCUGGACCCCAAGAGGCUGCAGAACAUGACCAUCCUGAUGAAGGCCGUCAACGCCACCGUCGACCAAAUCUACGCCGUCCUGAUGCACGGGAACGGCCUGUCCGUGCAGCAUCUGGAGGCACUGAUCAAGAUGGCGCCGACCAAGGAGGAUGUCGACAAGCUCGAGAGCUACAACGGCGACGUCGGCAGCCUGGUCGCCGCCGAGCCGGGAGACAUUCGCCGACGAAGUUAGCCACAUCAGAAAGUCGUUCGAGAUGCUCCAGGCGGCCCGGCAGGCGCGGCCUCCAGGCGGGCCCGAGGCGCGGCGUCCUCGCGGGGGGGCGAGACGAGGGCGUGAUUGGUUGGGUGAAUCGAGCGUGACCAGGCCCGCUGGAUGCAAGAAGCCGGUGAUUGGAUGCCCGGAUCAGCGUUUGGGCCAGGUCGACGAGAUGCAACUAGCGCUCCGCAGCCAGGCUCCCGGGAUACGGCAAAAUCGAGCAUGCAGCGCACCGAAAAUUUGCCUGUUGUAGCUAGACAUGCAUGCAACCAAUCACCGGCUCCCUGCAGCCUGGCUGGAACAUGCUAGCAACCAAACGCACUCAUGGCUAUGUUUGGUUACAACCC